rnacentral:rRNA from 1 species
AGGUAGCGAAAUUCCUUGUCGGCUAAAUACUGACCUGCACGAAAGACGCAAUGAUCUCUCAACUGUCUCAACAUUGGACUCGGUGAAAUUAUGGUUCCAGUGAAAACGCUGGAUACCCGCAUCAAAACGAAAAGACCCCGUGGAGCUUUACUACAACUUCGUAUUGGAAUUUGGUUUAACAUGUGUAGGAUAGGUGGGAGAUGGAGAAGCGGAGACGCUAGUUUCUGUGGAAUCAACCUUGAAAUACCACCCUUGUUAAAUUGAGUUUCUAACCUAUGACCGUCAUCCGGUCAGGAGACAGUGCGUGGUGGGUAGUUUGACUGGGGC